AAGUGGAGCAAUCCAUGAGUAGAGUGGCGAACGGGUGAGUAACACGUGGGUGACCUGCCUUCGAGUGGGGGAUAACAUCCCGAAAGGGGUGCUAAUACCGCAUGACAUCCUGCCUUUGAACAGGCGGACAUUAAAGCCGGGGAUCGCAAGACCUGGCGCUCGAAGAGGGGCCCGCGCCCGAUUAGCUAGUUGGUGAGGUAACGGCCCACCAAGGCUACGAUCGGUAUCCGGCCUGAGAGGGCGGACGGACACACUGGGACUGAGACACGGCCCAGACUCCUACGGGAGGCAGCAGUGGGGAAUUGUUCGCAAUGGGCGAAAGCCUGACGACGCAACGCCGCGUGGAGGAUGAAGAUCUUCGGG
rnacentral:rRNA from 1 species